ACAGCAGCAGCCACGGGAAUACGUAGGUGGCAAGCGUUGUCCGGAAUUAUUGGGCGUAAGGGCUCGCAGGCGGUUUCUUAAGUCUGAUGUGAAAGCCCCCGGCUCAACCGGGGAGGGUCAUUGGAAACUGGGAAACUUGAGUGCAGAAGAGGAGAGUGGAAUUCCACGUGUAGCGGUGAAAUGCGUAGAGAUGUGGAGGAACACCAGUGGCGAAGGCGACUCUCUGGUCUGUAACUGACGCUGAGGAGCGAAAGCGUGGGGAGCGAACAGGAUUAGAUACCCCUGUAGUCCCUGUCUCUUAUACC
rnacentral:rRNA from 1 species